CCUUGAGAUCAUGACCAGAGCCCAAGGCAGAGGCUUUAACCCACUGAGCUACCCAGGCACCCCUACCUGGUCUUUUCUGGUUAUUCAAAACGGCAAAUUUUAGUUCUCCUCAGGGGUCCUUUAUUCCUGUUGCCUUUGCCUGGAAUGACUAACUUUUCUUUGUCUGCAUCAAUCUUAUUUAUAUUUUUGUCAUUUGGUAUGUCUCCCAUUAGAUUUUCAGCCCCAUGAAAUUGAGGACGUUGGCCAAUUUAAAUCCCAGCACUACAUUCCCAGCACCAAGAAUAUUGCCUGACCCAUGAUAAGUCCUCGAGAAAUAUUUGUCAAGUGAAUAAGUAAAUUUUGUAGCCAUAUUUGUUUUAAUAUAUGGCUGGCAUUACCUGGCAACUUUGACCCUAGGAAAUGUCCUUCGUUUCUCCCACGGUUCUGUGUGUCCACUGAGAAGCUUGGCCACUCCUAACCAGCCACUGUUAAGAAAUUACAGUCUCCGAGGGUGCUUGGGUGGCUCAGUGGGUUAAAGCCUCUGCCUUCAGCUCAGGUCAUGAUCUCAGGGUCCUGGGAUCGAGCCCCACAUCGGGCUCUCUGCUCAGCGGGGAGCCUGCCUCCCCGCCUCUCUCUGCCUGUCGCUCUGCCUACUUGUGAUCUCCGUCUGUCAAAUAAAUAAACAAAAUCUUAAAAAAAAAAAAAAAAAAGAAAAAGAAAUUACAGUCUCCAGACCCCUUCAGAAUGAAAAGAAGGGCAGUGGGACCUUUGAACAGACAUCUGUGAGGGAACUCAUCAGUAGAUUAUAAAUGUAGGCCAAAACGAAAAAUAGAGACACUGUCAUAAAAAUCUCUCACACAUUCAAGUAUUGAGCUUGACCCUUGAUUUCAAUAAAGUAGUGUACUUCCCGGAUGGGGCUGAUAAAAGGUAAUAGUAUUAUGGGAUGGGAAGAGAGAUAGACAAAGGCCAGAGUCUACUUUGAAAAAAAUAUGUAAAUCUCUGGCAGGUCAUGACUUUAGACCACACACAGUUCGUCCUAAGAGAAAAAAACACAGGAAAGAAAAAAACAGCAUCAACAUUUCUAUCCUUUUUGUGUUCGCUGGAAAUAGAGUUUUGAAGGUAGUCCGGAGAGUGCAAUGCUCUUUUCCAACCACAGACUAUUCUUUCCUGGAAUUAUCGAAGGGUUUUUGUUUGGUUGUUUUUUUUUGUUUUGUUUUUGUUUGUUUGUUUGUUUGUUUGUUUCAUUUUUCAAGUGAGUGUAACAAUGAAACUUCGUCUUCAUUAAUCCAAAUUUAUGUCGUAAUGUGAGAAUGUGUGUGUGCUGAGUAACUUGACUAGGCGUUUACAAGUGGAAAGCGGAGUCUGAUGACCAGUAUUACAUAUUUACCUCAUCUCUUUUCUCUUCUGCAGAACUUGUUUUCAAAUGUGGAAACUCAUCUGUAUCCUAAGAUAGUUAAUGUUAGAAAAUAGGGAGCAUGCGGGCUACAUUAAAGUUUCGCAGCUCAGAAUUAAGGUUUGUCUCAGUGUAAUCUGUGACCAUCCUCACUUUGACAUUUGAGUUUUACUAGAUUUCUGCUUCCUUACCUGUAGAAGGGGAUGGUGUUCUAGUCAUUCUUGUUAGGGUAUGAAGCAAAUGGUACCAAGGCAGGUUAGAAAAACUUUAAACACUGGCCAUUUGCAAUUGGUCUACUCUCUUGAUUGUUACCUGCAUGCAAAUGAUGUUGGAAAGGAAUUUUACUGUGCGUUCAAAGAACGUUUUUGCCAAAUAGUUUAGAAGUCAGGGUCAUGCCAGAAUAAAAAAAAAAAAAAAAAGAGGGACAGAUAUUAACAAUUAGUCAUGAGAUUUUAAUUGAAACGGAACUUUUUUUCUUUAAAUAACUACCUAAGAUAAAAUCUGUUUUUCUUCUUUUCUCUGUUGCCCAUUAGUAAUGAUUAGAAUAUACCAAAGGGAGAUUUAAAAUAAUCCUGAGUGUCAUUAUUACCUAUCACUGUAGUUCAUGAGUGGAGUUAGCACAAUUUACCAAGUCCUACUCUCUAAAUGAUGCCUCCAGUCCGAGUUGCGUGGGACCUGUUCUACCUGGUGCCCGAGCUGUGGCCAGCUGAGCUGUUGCACAUCAUCUUUAUUGGAAGCUAAUUGGGCAAGUUCUGGUCCUUAUUUUGUACUCAGUCUGGCAAACACAGCCCCUAGGACACUUAAUAGCGUCAUUGUCCAUCAGUCUGUCAGAGUGACUGCCUUCAGGGCUGUCUGCUACGUGCUAUGUCCACUGGGCACUGCAAGAGCCACCAAAGAACAGAGGCCAUUUAUGGCUCUGUUGAGGGUAAAUUGAAUUCAGAGGAAUGGCUCAGGGAGGAGGGCAUAGCAUAGCAUGGAAAAGCUUGAAACAUUCUCCCUUUCAGUAAUGGGGGAAAAAAAAAAAGAGCCCAUGGUAUCAAAGCUUUCCCCCAAAGGAAUGAUGCACAAUGAAUGGUAAUACACCAGUCUGAAGAGUGGAUUUUGAGGGGUAAGGGAACCCCCAGCCCCGUACUUCUUUCUCAAGUAACAAGUUGCACGGCCUUGCUGGAUGUGAGGAACGCGGGAAAGAGUCGGGGCUUGGAGGAGAUGUUGACCUACUUCACUUCUUUCACUGCAAUUUUAAAUGGAACAGAUAGGAUGGAACAAAUGAGCCAAAUCAAACUUUUUUUUCCUGUUUUUGCAAUGAGGCAGGUAUACAUUAAAAACAACAACAACAACAAAACCUGGAGUUCUUGAAAACAAGGAAACAUUAGGAGGAAAUGAGGCAGGGAGAAUGUAAGAGAAAGGGGGCGACAUCUUUUUCUUUAGGGUAAUUCCCCUUUUUCCUGGAAAUGCAGACUAUGCAGGCAAGGCUGUGUGACUCGGGGUCCACGGCUCAUGACGGACAUGCAAGACGCAGAGGAGCCUGGAAAGUCAGGAAAGCCACGGAGGUCAAUCCUGUAGAUUCUGGACACUUCCAUCUUGCCAGCAGUCCGCGGCGACCCUCCUCUCUGAAAGCCUCCACUAAGGGCACAGAGAGAGCAAAGGGGAAGGGGGGGGCUUCCUUGAAUAUCUGCUUGUGGCAUUGUCUUCAGCUCACCAAAAAAACUCUGAACCAGGCAUCCUAUUAGAAGCGAGAACAAGUAUCUAUUGUUUGGGCUUAAAUAGCUCUAAGUGUUUCUUCUAGAGAUAAUUAAUUUAAUUAACAUAGUCCCUGAAGCCAAACUGAGCCUCAUCUUGAGCUCUACACAGAUUCCUUCCGAAUUCCAGCACAAGGCUAUUCAGAAUGAGCAACUGAUGGACCCUGUAACUUUGUAGACCCAUCGGGCCCCGCCCCCGCCCCAGCGGCAGACUUGCCUCCUUGACUCUGCUGCGGAUGGAGGCCUUAGGACAGGGGUGAGACCAGGGGGCUCUUCCUGGGCUGAGGAGAGCGCCAUUAGCUCUGAUAGAUUUAAAGGAAAGAUCAUCUUUCAUCUGUGGAUUGAGUUCCAAAAAAGGACAAUGGCAUUUCUUCCUUCCUGGUGGGUUAGAGAGAAAUUUGGUCUACUGAUUGCCUCCCCAUCGCCAGUGCUCAGCAGGACAGCCUCAAUAAAUCCACGCUGAAUGAGUGAAUACAUACAUGAGUGAAAAUCAGUCCCUUUGGUUGGCUUUUUGGCCUGUUGUCUUCCGGAGUAUGGAAGGAAAUUGAGUAGCAUUUGAUCUUAGAUUGAAAACUACCAACUGUCAUUUGUCCCAAGGGGACAUAAGAUGGUGGCUCUGGAUGGUGGUUUAUCUAUGGUAGAAGUAAAUUCAACACGUAUUGCAAGCUCCGAGGCAGGCACAAUGGAGGAAGGCCACAUGGUAGGGCCAUUUGGGAGUCAGACUAUGGAGUCAGAAAGACUGGGUUCUUCGCUGUCUCCCCUUUCUUGUGGUGUGACCGUGGGCACCUUUCUAAAACCUCUCUCAGCCUGUAUCUCUAAAAUAAGGAUAAUAUAAAACCUCGCUCCUAAGGUUAUUGUGAAGUUUAAGUACAAUGCCAUUUUCAUUCAACAUGUUCUGAACACCUACUGUGUGCCAGACAUUGUUGUAGGUGUUUGGGAUACAUCGGGGAAUGGAAUGAUGCCGCUUGGCUUUGUGAUGCUUGUAGUCUAGCAAGGGUAGAGGGGAGGGGAGCGAACAACACACCAGCCACACAAUCAAAUCAAUAUAUGCUCUGUUGGCGUUCUAUGUGCCAACAGGAGGGCAGGGUAAGAGUCCCAAAGGGGAUCUGUGAGGUGAGAAUAAGUUGCAGUUCUAUGUAGUGUAGACAGAGGCAGACAGGGUAAGCCUCAUUGAAAAGGUGAUGCUUGGGCAAAGUUUUGAAGUUAGUGAGGGAGUGAACCGUGCAGAUAUCAGGAGACAAAAUGUUCCAGGCAGACGCAAAGGCCAGUACAAAGGCCAGAGGGCAGGAGUAUGCCAGGCCUGUUGGAGAGCCAAGAGCAAAGGAGCUAGCGUGGCUGGGAGGGGGAGAAGUGACUGCAGAGCAGGCAGGACCUUUGGGCUAGCACCCACAGCGAAAUGGGGAGCCUGUCUCACCCUUAUUUUGAAGGCUCGCCCAUGGCGGGUGGAGGAGGGACACGGCUGUAGGAGGGGAAACAGGCUUGUGUGUGGACGCCCAGCUGUGUAAUGAUCUGAGAUCACAAGUAGGCAGAGAAGCAGGCAGAGAGAGAGGAGGAAGCAGACUCCCCACCGAGCAGAGAGCCCGACAUGGAGCUCCAUCCCAGAACCUUGGGAUCACAACCUGAGCCGAAGACAGAGGCCUUAACCCACUGAGCCACCCAGGUGCCCCAAGGCUGUGCAUUUUACAUCUCCACUGAAGUAUUAGAAAGCUUUCUGUAAUCAAACACAUUGGUAUUCCUUCAGUGAAAUAUAUGAGUAUUUGUAUUCAGUGGGAUAAAUAGCCUCAUGUUAGCUUAGGCCAGGUUUUGCUACUUAAUAAGUUUUGGCAUUAAGGGGCGCCUGGGUGGCUGGGUCUGUUCAGCAACCCGUUCUCGGUUUCAGUUUAUGUCAUUAACUCAGGGUGGUGAGAUUGAGCCUGACAUUGUGCUCUGCACUCAGCACGGAGUCUGCAUGGUUCUCCCCUUCUCCUUCUGCCCCCACUUCUUAACUAAAUAAAGAAAAUCUUUUUUAAAAAAGCUUUUGUUAGUGAAAAUAAACUUUUGGGACUUCAUCAAAAUCAAAGGCUUCUGCACAGCAAAGGAAACAGUCAAAAAAACAAAGAGGCAACCCACGGAAUGGGAGAAGAUAUUUGCAAAUGACAGUAGAGACAAAAGGUUGAUAUCCAGGACCUAUAAUGAACUCCUCAAACUCAACACACACGAAACAGGCAAACAUAUCAAAAAAUGGGCAGAAGAUAUGAACAGACACUUCUCCAAUCAAGACAUACAAAUGGCUAUCAGACACAUGAAAAAAUGUUCAUCAAUAUUAGCCCUCAGGGAGAUUCAAAUUAAAACCACAUUGAGAUAUCACCUUACACCAGUUAGAAUGGCCAAAAUUAACAAAACAGGAAACAACAUGUGUUGGAGGGGAUGUGGAGAAAGGGGAACUCUCUUACACUGUUGGUGGGAAUGCAAGUUGGUGCAGCCUCUUUGGAGAACAGUGUGGAGAUUCCUCAAGAAAUUAAAAAUAGAACUUCCCUCAAGCUUAAAAAAAAAAAUAAAAAUAGAACUUCCCUAUGACCCUACAAUUGCACUCCUGGGUAUUUACCCCAAAGAUACAGGUGUCGUGAAAAGAAGGGCCAUCUGUACCCCAAUGUUUAUAGCAGCAAUGGCCACGGUCGCCAAACUAUGGAAAGAACCAAGAUGCCCUCCAACGGACGAAUGGAUAAGGAAGAUGUGGUCCAUAUACACUAUGGAGUAUGAUGCCUCCAUCAGAAAGGAUGAAUACCCAACUUUUGUAGCAGUAUGGACGGGACUGGAAGAGAUUAUGCUGAGGGAAAUAAAUCAAGCAGAGAGAGUCAAUUAUCAUAUGGUUUCACUUAUUUGUGGAGCAUAACAAAUAUCAUGGAGGACAAGGGGUGUUAGAGAGGAGAAGGGAGUUGGGGGAAAUUGGAAGGGGAGGUGAA